rnacentral:snoRNA from 1 species
CCCAGCUCUCAGUCAGCUGACCAGGCGGUGUAUGUCUGGCUCAGUGUUACAGUGCUGGUAGAGGAAGUCUCUGUACUUGGUCCCAGCUUAGCAGGCUCUGUUUUAGAGUCUGCUCCUGCUGAGCUGCUGCAGAGCGUGGCCCCAACGAGAGUGGCCUGUCCUGACUCCACAGCAGGACAGGCCUAGUACAGGGCUGCACACC